rnacentral:rRNA from 1 species
CAAUAGCGUAUAUUAAAGUUGUUGCAGUUAAAAAGCUCGUAGUUGAAUUUCUGUCAGGAGUGACCGGGCCUUUGGAUGAACUUCCAUUGUUUUUUGCUCUGUUUGUCAUCUCUAGACAUCCUGAAAUAUUUUUUAAAAAUAUUUCUCUUUUACUGUUAGCAAAAUAGAGUGUUCCAAGCAAAGCGUAGUUUUGAAUACAUUAGAAUGGAAUAAUAAGAUAGGACUUUGGUGCUAUUUUGUUGGUUUGCACACCAAGGUAAUGAUUAAUAGGGACAGUUGGGGGUAUUCGUAUUUAAUUGUCAGAGGUGAAAUUCUUGGACCGUCUGAAGACUAACUACUGCGAAAGCAUUUGCCAAGAGUGUUUUCAUUAA